rnacentral:lncRNA from 1 species
CUGCAGCAGCUGGUCACACACGCACGGAGAGCGGAGCGGGGGCCCCCGGCCAAACCGUUACCACCCAUUAUUAUACAAACAGUGAUGACUGGCUGCUGACCUCAACAUUUUAAUAAGGAUCCACCUAAGAAUGAUGAAAGAAGCUAAUCAAACAGUACCAAGUGCUUGAUGGACUAACAGAGUCAUUCAAAAGCAUUAAAUUUGGCACCAGCUGGGACUACUGAACCCCAAAUAUGAGGAUGGCUAAGUACUGCAAUAUGAAACUAAAUAUAAGGUUACUCAGUAUGUCAAUAAUUUUAGAUACUGAGUUUUGAUACUUCACCGUUUUCCCAUGGGAGUAUUCAGAGGUUAAGUU